AGUCAAAUGUGGUCAGUUCCAUUGGGAAGUGGGGUUUUCAUCAGCAGGGACUCUGCGGCAACUCACCUGCUUUCUGCUCCAAGAGUCCAGCACCCUGAGAUCCUGAUGCCAGGGUAAGCUGGGGGACUGCUCAUAGCCAAAGAUGCAGGCGUCAAGGGGUGGGCUGGCCUCAUUGCAACCUCAUCCUACCUGGCUGGCCUACAGCACUAAGUCUGGCAGGGCUCAGAGAAGGAAGCUUCCAAGUGGACUUCAUGCAUCUGAAAAGGAGCCACUCUGGGAGCCGCCUCGGAGGCAGCUCUUCUCACUACCUAGGUAACUUGUGGGUAACAGCGCUGUCAUCUAUGGCUCAAAGCCACUCACCAGGGAGUUGCUGCAGACCUGUAUGUAUCCUUAUACAGAGAAACAGAGAGAGGCUACUGAGGACCUAAGCCGGUGCCUCAUGGAUAAGGAAACUCCAUGGAAGUUAGAGCUGCCCUGUAAUUUGCAUCCCCCAUAUCUUAGAAACCAGAAUGAAAGGCCUACAGCAGAGACUGAAGAGAGGAAGGCUCAUCACUUGGACCACCAAAGAAAGGUCUCAAGAUCCCUCUGCUAUGGUUAAAUCUAGUCAAGCAACCCAUCCCGGUGCUACUGUGGAAUUCCUGCAAGAGGCAGAAGGCGGUUCAGAGUCAUCAAAGCCAUUUUUACAAGGUAGACAUAGGACUGGGGGAUUAAAGGCUUUCAUGGCCUCACUUGCCAACCUGCCUCCCCCCCCCCCCCCCAAGGCUCUGGGUGAGUACCUAUUAACUUCUCUCCACUCUCUAAUCCCAAAUCCAUCUCCACUUUGCAUAUCGACAUGAAAGCCAAUGGCGGUGCUGGCUAAGGUCAGACAACUCCAAGGAAAAGGCCUCAGGGGCAGGCAGAUAGGGAGCCAGGUGCUGGGAAAGGCAAUAGGAGAAACCUCAAGCUGGGCUUUAGUCUACCAGCGACUCCCUCCCCUACUGCUGCCAGUGCCUGAGGCACCAGGGCAGUUUGUAUCUUCUCAAGGUGUAUCCCCAGGAACCUUCGGAGGAGGAAUUUGGCCACGGCCUCACAAAGUCUGACUCCUGGUCAGAAUGCCUGGAGUGUGUGAACUAGCUGGGAUUCACCUCAUCCACUGCCAGCACCUCACUUUCUAAAGGCGUCCGGGGUUACAGCUUCUCAGGCGGUGCACUGUGGCAUGCAAAGCCGGAAGACAUUUGGCCUUCAACUGACUCAUACAGACCGGAAGAGGUGUCACGAGCAGUUUCCAAGCAUGGUCACUGCCCCCUGGCGGCCACGACCUAGAGUUGCUACAAGUGAUGAUCAGGCCGAGUGAAGACAAGGACCCUUAAGUCUCCUACUUCCUACAAGGACCCUUAUCUCCCCUUCCAUUCUCCUGAAAGCCUCGAAAGUCUCAAAGGCCCCCAAACUCUCGGACAGGUGGCAAUCACCACCCCAUCUUACAUUCACAAGCACCACUGGCCGCCAGGUGCAACUUUGCGCUCAAUUUCGACGAACUCAGAAGGUCGAACACGCCUACCGCCCAGCUGGGGGCCCAGAGCCAAGUGCGCACCCACUAGGAACAGAGACCCACGCUAAAGAUGUCAAACAGGUUUCCAUUCUCAGUGCCUCCAAAAGCUGGAGCUUGGGCCAGUUCCGCCUUCCGUCCGCUGGGGCCCUCCAGGUCGUCUGCCACCUCCCUCUCCCUGGCAGGGGGUGGCUGACACAUAGCCCAGGAGGCCCCAGGGCGCUGGAGAGCCGCCGAAACCUGUCCAGGAUCCACAAGGCUGUAGAGAUCAAGCUGCCCAUCUAUGGAGAUGCCGGGAGCCGUCCCGGCUCUAGGAAGAGAUGCAAGCCGUGCUCCGACCCCUCCCAAGAGACAAGCGCGGCCCCUGCCUUAUUCAGGCCCGCGCCUACCGGUCCUCGCACGCCGUUUCAUUCUGCUCGGCCUGGCGGCCAGGCACGUCUGGGGCCACAGCAGACUGCAGGGGCGAAGGGGCGGCGCUCAUUGAGGCCGGCGGCGCAGCCAUGGCGUCCCGAACCUGGCGGAGGCCGGGGAGGCGCACCGGGAGGCAGGCACGCUGCGGACUACAAUCCCCACAAGGCCGUGCGGCAAGCCCCGAGAAUGACCUUUGCCUCAACACAAACUCAGCCACACAAAAUCCCUGGAAAAAAAAAAUCAAUAAACAUUUAUUUGAUACAGUGACUUUAAUCUCAAAACAUCUUGCAAAUAAAACACUUUGUAGAUAGAAUAUAUAUGCAUGUAUAUCUAUGGUUACAAGUGAUAGCCAGAAAUGCACUUGUGUAAUGAGAACUGCAUUAUAACCAAACCAAGGAACCCAAAGUUUAGGAGGCGCUGCAGUCAGGCAUCAAGGAGUCCUGGCUCUUGUGUUUGGAAGACGGGUCAGCUGAGGUCCGGAACCAAUUCUAGGGCAAGAAAACUUGCAAUAAAGACUGAGAAAUUUGGUCUAAAGCUACAGAUCUAACUCAUUUUCUUUAUUAAAACCAACCAACUAAACAAAAAC
rnacentral:lncRNA from 1 species